UACCGUCUACCCAUGACGAAUCCCGCUGGACGACGCCGGACGUACCAUACGUGUCCUACGUCAACCUUACGCGAGAGCCCCAUUGGCUAGCCGACGGGUCCCACAGCCAGGCGGGACCUCGCAGCCGGCGGGCCCCUCAAGCGACAAGACAAGACCCUCGUGGGCCCCCCUUGCCAGCCAGCGAGGCUGCUAGCCGGGUCCCACUCUUGUACCCUUUAUUCAUAUUGUAGGCCGGGGGUUCGUCUAUAAAACCCCCUGGCCCCCCUCCAUGCAGAGG
rnacentral:lncRNA from 1 species